rnacentral:rRNA from 1 species
GACGAACGCUGGCGGCGUGCUUAACACAUGCAAGUCGAACGGAAAGGCCCUGCUUUUGUGGGGUGCUCGAGUGGCGAACGGGUGAGUAACACGUGAGUAACCUGCCCUUGACUUUGGGAUAACUUCAGGAAACUGGGGCUAAUACCGGAUAGGAGCUCCUGCUGCAUGGUGGGGGUUGGAAAGUUUCGGCGGUUGGGGAUGGACUCGCGGCUUAUCAGCUUGUUGGUGGGGUAGUGGCUUACCAAGGCUUUGAAGGGUAGCCGGCCUGAGAGGGUGACCGGCCACAUUGGGACUGAGAUACGGACCAGACUCCUACGGGAGGCAGCAGUGGGGAAUAUUGCACAAUGGGCGGAAGCCUGAUGCAGCAACGCCGCGUGCGGGAUGACGGCCUUCGGGUUGUAAACCGCUUUCGCCUGUGACGAAGCGUGAGUGACGGUAAUGGGUAAAGAAGCACCGGCUAACUACGUG